AGACCAGCAGAUGGAGGAGGGGAUUCUGAGCACUCUGCGGACCCUCUAGGACCUACUCACCCCCAUUCUAUGGACAUUUUCCCAUAAACUGUGAAGGAAUGGAGGGAAAGAGAACUGGAACUGGGACCAUCUGCAAACUUCCCCCUUUUUCGACCCUCGCACCUAUCACCCCAUCCCCAUACCAGACACAGGUGGCCCUUACCUGGGUCCCGCAGAGAAGGGAAUAAAAGCCAGAGGUGACCUCU
rnacentral:lncRNA from 1 species